UCGGGAAUUUUGGGCAAUGGGCGAAAGCCUGACCCAGCAACGCCGCGUGAAGGAUGAAGUAUUUCGGUAUGUAAACUUCGAAAGAAUAGGAAGAAUAAAUGACGGUACUAUUUAUAAGGUCCGGCUAACUACGUGCCAGCAGCCGCGGUAAUACGUAGGGACCAAGCGUUGUUCGGAUUUACUGGGCGUAAAGGGCGCGUAGGCGGCAUGACAAGUCACUUGUGAAAUCUCUGGGCUUAACCCAGAACGGCCAAGUGAUACUGUCGCGCUAGAGUGCAGAAGGGGCAAUCGGAAUUCUUGGUGUAGCGGUGAAAUGCGUAGAUAUCAAGAGGAACACCUGAGGUGAAGACGGGUUGCUGGGCUGACACUGACGCUGAGGCGCGAAAGCAAGGGGAGCAAACAGGAUUAGAUACCCCCGUAGUCCCUGAGCGGGCUGGCAAGGCGCAU
rnacentral:rRNA from 1 species